GGGCGAUUAGCUCAGCUGGCUAGAGCGCCACAUUGACGUUGUGGAGGUCAGAGGUUCGACUCCUCUAUCGCCCACCA
rnacentral:tRNA from 1 species